GCGCGAGGUAGCUCACUUGGUAGAGCAACUCCAUGGUAAGGAGUAGGUCAGCGGUUCAAAUCCCGGUCUCGGCUCCA
rnacentral:tRNA from 1 species